rnacentral:rRNA from 1 species
AGCGAACGCUGGCGGCAGGCCUAACACAUGCAAGUCGAACGAACCUUUCGGGGUUAGUGGCGGACGGGUGAGUAACACGGGGGAACGUGCCUGUAGGUUCGGAAUAACUCAGGGAAACUUGUGCUAAUACCGAAUGUGCCAUUCGGGGGAAAGAUUUAUCGCCUUUAGAGCGGCCCGCGUCUGAUUAGCUAGUUGGGUGAGGUAAUGGCUCACCAAGGCGACGAUCAGUAGCUGGUCUGAGAGGAUGAUCAGCCACAUUGGGACUGAGACACGGCCCAAACUCCUACGGGAGGCAGCAGUGGGGAAUCUUGCGCAAUGGGCGAAAGCCUGACGCAGCCAUGCCGCGUGAAUGAUGAAGGUCUUAGGAUUGUAAAAUUCUUUCACCGGGGACGAUAAUGACGGUACCCGGAGAAGAAGCCCCGGCUAACUUCGUG